UUUACGGGAGGCAGCAGUGGGGAAUAUUGCACAAUGGGCGCAAGCCUGAUGCAGCCAUGCCGCGUGUGUGAAGAAGGCCUUCGGGUUGUAAAGCACUUUCAGUCAGGAGGAAAGGUUAGUAGUUAAUACCUGCUAGCUGUGACGUUACUGACAGAAGAAGCACCGGCUAACUCCGUGCCAGCAGCCGCGGUAAU
rnacentral:rRNA from 1 species